rnacentral:rRNA from 1 species
UACGGAGGAUGCAAGCGUUAUCCGGAAUGAUUGGGCGUAAAGCGUCCGCAGGUGGCUAUGUAAGUCUGCUGUUAAAGAGUCUGGCUCAACCAGAUAAAGGCAGUGGAAACUACAUGGCUAGAGUGCGUUCGGGGCAGAGGGAAUUCCUGGUGUAGCGGUGAAAUGCGUAGAGAUCAGGAAGAACACCGGUGGCGAAGGCGGCAUCCUGGACCAAUACUGACGCUGAGGAGCGAAAGCCAGGGGAGCAAACGGG